AGGCUGUGUUUCAUAUAAGGUCUGAUGUUUGGCAGAAGAUUGGAGGAGAGUGGACAAAUCGUUUACUGUAUGAUGUGCAGUGUUGGUUUGCCUGAGGUUGUGCCUUCUGCUGGAGUCCAGUGUUUGUUUUCCUGUUGGUGAAACGCCUUUGUUCUCAUUUGUGAAAAAAAUUCAAAACGGCGUCUAUCCCGACUGACGUCCAUGGCUGUUGAAACCCCUUCUAGGAACAUUAGUCAUACCAUCGUGUUGGAGUGGCAGUGAAACAUUCCCACAGACCCAGCUGCUCCCGACCAGUUGAUAACCAGCAGAAAAUGAUGUGUUUCCUCCAUGUUGUGGCCGUCUGACUGGGUGAGAUGUCCAAUCAAUAAGAAGCAACAUAUUAGGCCUGGAGGGUGUGUGGGGUUUAGAUUCAAACACCCUCUGAUUUGAUUGGAUGUGACCCUGCACGCAAAAGUCGCAGGCGUUUCGGAGCAUGUGUGUGUUCCUCACUAGAGGUGUGAAGCUGACAGAGGUGGGAUUUCCUGUGUACUGGCAGCUUUCACUUUGAGGCUUCUCAAAACUGUGGGCUCAGAAACCUGGGGUAUGUGCAGAAUAGCAUACUGCCAUAGUACUUGUACUGUUUUUAAAAUGUAGUACGUGUACUUUGCACAUUAUGCACAUUUUCUUUUCUGUAUGCAUAAGAAGACCUUCUGCAUUUUCUAAAAUGUGUGCUAUACGACCACAACAUAGUGUGAAAUGU